UGUGAGCGGAGCCACACUUACGACAAUUAAUCACCAAAGAUCUCUGAACAGUUCAUCCAAAUUUGGCACAACCUGAUCGAUGUGAUAAACAGCUGAUCAGUCUUUGUGAAGGCACAUUGUGGUUGUGUGUGUGUGUGUGUGAGUGUGUGUGUGUGUGUGUGUGUGUGUGUGUGUGUGUGUGUGUGUGUGUGUGUGUGUGUGUGUGUGUGUGUGUGUGUGUGUGUGUGUGUGUGUGUGUGUGUGAGAGAGAGAGAGAGAGAGAGAGAGAGAGAGAGAGAGAGGCUCGAGCUCCAGCCAGACAGACGCCAGUGGAGUUGUAUGAGCGCGUUCACGCUGCACGCGCUGCUCUGAUCCUGGACCUGCAGAGGACCCGGACUAGUGUCAGAACCAGGAUCAGGAACAGGAGAGCUGGACCUGCCGGAGUUACAUCAGAGUUUUAUAGAUUAUUAUUAAUAACUUUGUUUAAAAGAAGAGAGAGACAAACAUCCUGCUGCUCAUACCGGGGCUCUGUGUCGGAUCAUCGUAGUGAUGAGGAGUAAUACAGAGGGCUGUUAGUUUAUUGUGUGUGUGUGUGUGUGUGUGUGUGUGUGCGUGCGUGUGCGUGUUGUGACUUUAGUUAAAUCUCUGAUUUUUCUGUUUGGUCCUCUGCAUGAGCUGUGUGUCCUUUCUUCAGCCGAGCAGCUGCAGCUCUGCAGCCUGUGCUGUGCUCAGUUUGUGUGUGUGUGUGUGUGUGUGUGUGUGUGUGUGUGUGUGUGUGUGUGUGUGUGAGAGAGAGAGAGUGAGAGAGCCUGUGUGUGUAUGAGUGUUCUCGGUGUGUGUGUGUCAGUGUGUGUGCGGGUUAUUCACAGAGCUGCUAUGCAGACUGAGUGGAGCCACAGUCAGACAGCCUCAGUGUGAGCUCACAGAGAAACGCUCACAGCUGACAGAGCUCUGCAGGAGGACUCGUGCAGGACAGCAGAUGUUUCUCACUCUGUGGACUGAUGUGGACAGAUGUGGAUUAUUCAGGAUGCAGAUCUGCAGACUGAGAGGAGCCACAGUAAACUUGCUGCAGUAACAUCCUGUCAGAGCAGGAUUCAGACUUUAGGAUCCUCAGAUUGUGGAUUACUGAAUGGACUCUAAAGUUUCACAGACUCAGACCUGAACUCAAGUCCCCGGACCUGCUGAUAGAAAUGGAAUUGGUGUUUGCACCAGGUGGAGGUUUGGACAGAUGACAGCGGAUACAACUUUUUAAUUCAAACCUUUUUGAGGUUCAAUUUCAGCUCCACGUGUUGAUUUAAUUCUACUCUGUUGGUGACGUUAUAAUCAGAGGAUGAAGAACCUGGAUCAACUGAGUCAGACCUGGAACAGGUCCAUCAGCAAAGACCCGGUCCUGGUCUCUAAUAAGAAGUUCAAGAGGAAGUCCCGGGAGCCUAAAAGACUGUGUAGUGACCCGGAGCCUGACAGGGCCAGGUCUUUUCCUGCAGACGGGUCCGAUGUGGACUCUGCAGAUGAGGCGGCCCCCCUGCGGAGACAGCUGAUGCAAGCCGAGUCCAGGUCUGCAGGGAUCCUGUCAGGACUCACAGAGGGCGGGGAUACUCGAGCUCACAGCGGGGCCUUAGACAUGAGGAUCGGCAUAAACGUGCCUUCCAUCACCCCCAAACUGACCCAGGUCCCGUCCCCCUCACUCUCUGAGAUCUCCCACUGGUCUCCCACCAUCUCCCAGCCCCUGACGCACAGACUCAGACCGGGCCACAGGUCCACCUUCUCUCUGUCAGCAUCCACCAGCAGCAGCCUCUCUCUGGAGCCCGCACUGACAGGACUGCCUAUGCCCAGAACUCCCCAGUCCUCCCAGAGUCAGGAGCACCUGGAGCCUCAGGCCCAGUCCCCAAGGGACUCUCCCAGGAAGCGGGCCGGGCUGAAUGAAGAUGGACCCGGACCUGGGCAUGAACAUGAACAUGAACAUGGACUUGGACAUGGACUUGGACUUGGACUUGGACUUGGACUUGGACAUGGACCUGCACAUGCACAUGCACAUGGACAUGGACAUGGACAUGGACGUAUUCCAGAGGUGAAAGCGGUCCAGCAGACCAGGAGGCUGCUUGCCAACGCUCGAGAGAGGACCAGAGUCCACACCAUCAGUGCUGCGUUUGAAGCGCUGAGGAAACAGGUGCCGUGUUACUCGUACGGACAGAAGCUUUCCAAGUUAGCCAUCCUGCGUAUCGCCUGUAACUACAUCCUGUCUCUGGCUCAGCUGGCGGAGCUGGACUACAGUCCGGACCGAUCCAGUCUGAGCUUCUCUCAGUGUGUGGACCAGUGUACAAGAACGCUGCAGGCCGAGGGGCGGAGCAAGAAGAGGAAGGCCAUCUGCUCCAACAUACUUUGAAACAAGGAGGGGAAAAAACACAGUCAUCAUCAGCCUGUCAGACAGCAGCAGCUGCUGGAGUGAUGCUGACAGACAGACCAGGACCAUGACUAGGAUCAGGACCUUGAUCUGGAUGUGGAUCUAAAAGAGGACUUAGAUUCUGGGAGAAGGACUUAGACAGACUUUGAGGAUCAUUAUGGAGAGUUCUUGAUGUUUCAAUGAUGACCCGCUUCACAAUUUGGACGAACAUCUUAAUUUUUUUGAAAAUGAGAUUAUGAACUCCUGUAUGUGAUGAUCAGCGGAUUAAUAAUCCCAUUACCAUGGAUACAGACAGACCCCACACAGGUGUAUGUGAUGAUCAGCGGAUUAAUAAUCCCGUUACCAUGGAUACAGACAGACCUCACACAGGUGUAUGUGAUGAUCAGCGGAUUAAUAAUCCCGUUACCAUGGAUACAGACAGACCUCACACAGGUGUAUGUGAUGAUCAGCGGAUUAAUAAUCCCGUUACCAUGGAUACAGACAGACCUCACACAGGUGUAUGUGAUGAACAGCGCAUUAAUAAUCCCGUUACCAUGGAUACAGACAGACCUCACACAGGUGUAUGUGAUGAUCAGCGGAUUAAUAAUCCCGUUACCAUGGAUACAGACAGACCUCACACAGGUGUAUGUGAUGAUCAGCGGAUUAAUAAUCCCGUUACCAUGGAUACAGACAGACCUCACACAGGUGUAUGUGAUGAACAGUGCAUUAAUAAUCCCGUUACCAUGGAUACAGACAGACCUCACACAGGUGUAUGUGAUGAACAGCGCAUUAAUAAUCCCGUUACCAUGGAUACAGACAGACCUCACACGGGUAUAUGUGAUGAUCAGCGGAUUAAUAAUCCCGUUACCAUGGAAACCGACAGACCUCACAAAGGUGUAUGUGAUGAUUAGCGGAUUAAUAUCCCGUUACCAUGGAAACCGACAGACCUCACAAAGGUGUAUGUGAUGAUCAGCGGAUUAAUAUCCCGUUACCAUGGAAACCGACAGACCUCACAAAGGUGUAUGUGAUGAUCAACGGAUAAAUAAUCCUGUUACCAUGGAAACCGACAGACCUCACACAGUUGCAUGUGAUGAUCAUUGGAUUAAUAAUCCUGUUACCAUGGAAACCGACAGACCUCACACAGGUGUAUGUGAUAACCUUUUUUUUUAACAGAUUGAUGAAGCUCAUCGGGUUUAGAAAAGCUCCAGAAAGUUUAAUGAAACCAACGUUGCAGUUUUUAACAGCUCCCCCGUUCAUUCAGUGUUAUAUCUUUUAGUUUGACAUUUAAUACAUUCGUUAUAUUUCAGAAUAUGUCCGUUUUGUUUCUCCUGUAAAAUAAAAUAUUUUAACAUGA